AGAAAAGAAAAGGAAAAGUUCUCACACUGAUAAACUCUCCCUUUCCCAAACUCAUCUUCAACCCCCUUGCACUGCCUGUUUAAUUCAGCGUCAUCAGAAAAUAACCCCAAAUGUCUUGCACUCCUGGCUUCUGCUGAUAGAGCUAAGUUUAUAUAGACUCUUGGACAACAUUUCCAGGUUGCUGCUGGUCGAGCACCCUUUCACAGUUCAAGGAGAAAGGGCUUAAGACCCUGAAAAAAAAAAUUUAUAGGAAAAUUUCCCCAAAAGGUAAGCACAAUAAAAAGUCAAAAGGAGGUACGGGCUGAAGAAUGACUUCCUGCAAUGUGUAAUUUCAAGGUCAGUCUGCAGUACAUUUUCUGGAUGAUGUAAACUUGCACCUUAAAGAGGAGUAGAAUUUGAACAUACAGACACAGGAUAAAUAUUUUAAGUUGAAAAAAUGUUAUGCAGAAAAUUAUAGUUAUAAGAAAGUAUUAGGCUCAUGUAGCCAAAUUUACAGAAUUCUAUCAUGCUGAAGGACAGGAUGUGAGAAAGUAACUCAAUGCCGGAAUGAAAGAUGGGUUAAAGAGUUUAGACAUUAUUUAGAGUAUGGAUUUCAAUGGAUUUCUUUUUCAACCAAGAAUGAAUGCUACAUGAGACCUGUGUAUCAAGUGUUAUCCCCUUUUGGGUGUUUUCCCUGGUCUUUCUUUCUUCAAGGUAAACUUAAGUUAAAUUUUUAGGUUUAUUUUAGCAGUAUAUACUUCUAUCUAUCAUAACAUUUACCCAUGAUACUAUAAUUAUCUGUUUGCCUACGAGAUUCUACCACUGCUAAAAAGCAAAGAUUAAUCUUUACUUAUCUCUAAUUUCCAAGUAUUGUGUGCAGCACUCAGUAUAUUGCAGAAUUCAAUAUAUUUUAAUUAAAUUGAGAAUCUAUCUAUAUAUAAGAUGAUUAUUAAAAACAACAGAAGUGUGAAAGAAUUGGGGUGAGAAGAAAAAGUUUCAUCCCUAGAUGGUGACUUUUACUAUUCUCUAGUCUACCAGUGUGGACAGUGGUAGCUGAAGUGAGCCAGGAAAAUACUCAUGCAGGAAAGAAAUAAGGAUGACCAAAUUCAGAUAUAAAGAAGUUGAAAAGAGAGUGACUUGGUCAGGAUAGUUUGCUAUACAAAUUAAAAAAAAAAAAA
ensembl:lncRNA novel transcript